rnacentral:tmRNA from 1 species
GCUCUUUUUUUGCCCACCUUGUGCGCCUAUAUUGAGAAGUGCCGGCGCGAGUCGGCUAUGGCAAUAAACGGCCGUCGUAAUAAACCCAUCGGACCCGGGGGCAGUACCCGGCGCCUCCACCAUCAGGGGGUCAGUGGUCAGAAGUCGUUGAUCAGACGCGACCACUGAUUACUGAUCGCUGAGACGGGGGCGAAAUAGGAUCGACGAGGGCGUAAAGGGCGUGCUUUUGCCCGGCAUGGUUCCACCGUUAUCGGGCCGCAUUCAUAGUUGCCAACGACAACUAUGCUCCGGUUGCCCAGGCCGCGUAACGCGGUUUGGAAUACCGAUCUGAAGUCCUGAGGUCUUAGCAGCUUCAGGCGGGGUUCGGAGGCACCUGGCAACAGAAGCCUCCACU